CCGGGAAUGGCCCUGGAGUGACCCUGAGGUGUCCCCAGAGUGACCCCAGGAAUGACCCCGACGUGUCCCCAAGACUGUCCCCAAUGUGACGCUGAGGUGACCCCAGGACUGUCCCCAAGGUGUCCCUGGGAAUGACCCCAAGGUGACCCCAGGAAUGACCCCGAGGUGUCCCCCCAAUGUCCCCAAGGUGUCCCCAAGGUGUCCCCAAGGUGUCCCCAGGGGUUUCAUACAGGACCGGGUCCCUCCACCCCACAGCUGCCACCCCCUGCAACUGGGGGGACAAUUCUGGGUGUCCCCAACUCGGGGGUGUCCCCAAAUUCCGGGUGUCCCCAAGUCUGGGUGUCCCCAAAUUCCGGGUGUCCCCAACCUUGGGGUGGCCCCUGGACAGGGUGGGGCACCGAGGGUCCGGAAGGGACCAGGACACAGGGCAGGGGGUGGCACUGCUGUCCCCUCCUGUCCCCUCUCCGUCCCCUCCCUGUCCCCUCCUGUCCCCUCUCUGUCCCCUCUCUGUCCC